CCAAUAGCGUAUAUUAAAGUUGUUGCAGUUAAAAAGCUCGUAGUUGAAUUUCAGGCCUGGCUGGACGGUCCGCCCUUCGGGUGAGUACUGUCUGUGGUCGGGUCCUACCUUCUGGCGAAGCGUCAUGGCCUUAACCGGCCGUGGCGGGGAACCAGGACUUUUACUGUGAAAAAAUUAGAGUGUUCAAAGCAGGCAAUCGCUUGGAUACAUUAGCAUGGAAUAAUGGAAUAGGACAAUGGUUCUAUUUGUUGGUUUCUAGGACCGUUGUAAUGAUUAAUAGGGAUAGUUGGUGGCAUUAGUAUUCAAUUGUCAGAGGUGAAAUUCUUGGAUUUAUUGAAGAAUAACUACUGCGAAAGCAUUUGCCAAGGAUGUUUUCAUUAAUCAAGAACGAGAGUUAGGGGAUCGAAGACGAUCAGAUACCGUCGUAGUCUUAACCAUAAACUAUGCCGACUAGGAAUCGGGCGAUGUUGAAAAAAUGACGCGCUCGGCACCUCAUG
rnacentral:rRNA from 1 species